rnacentral:rRNA from 1 species
UGAGGAAUAUUGGGCAAUGCCCGCAAGGGUGACCCAGCAACGCCGCGUGGAGGAUGAAUGUCGUAAGAUUGUAAACUCCUGUUAGAGGGGAAGAAUAGUACCGGUUGGACCGGUAUAUGACUGUACCCUCAGAGAAAGCCCCGGCUAACUACGUGCCAGCAGCCGCGGUAAUACGUAGGGGGCAAGCGUUGUCCGGAUUUACUGGGUGUAAAGGGCGCGCAGGCGGGAUAAAAAGUCAGUGGUGAAAUCCUACAGCUUAACUGUAGAACUGCCUUUGNUACUUUUAUUCUUGAGUUCGGGAGAGAGAGACGGAAUUCCAGGUGUAGUGGUGAAAUACGUAGAUAUCUGGAAGAACACCAGUUGCGAAGGCGGUCUCUUGGUCCGACACUGACGCUGAGGCGCGAAAGCGUGGGGAGCGAACA